rnacentral:rRNA from 1 species
AACGAACGCUGGCGGCAGGCUUAACACAUGCAAGUCGAGCGCCCCGCAAGGGGAGCGGCAGACGGGUGAGUAACGCGUGGGAAUCUACCCAAUACUACGGAAUAGCUCCGGGAAACUGGAAUUAAUACCGUAUGUGCCCUACGGGGGAAAGAUUUAUCGGUAUUGGAUGAGCCCGCGUUGGAUUAGCUAGGUGGUGGGGUAAUGGCCUACCAAGGCGACGAUCCAUAGCUGGUCUGAGAGGAUGAUCAGCCACACUGGGACUGAGACACGGCCCAGACUCCUACGGGAGGCAGCAGUGGGGAAUAUUGGACAAUGGGCGAAAGCCUGAUCCAGCCAUGCCGCGUGAGUGAUGAAGGCCUUAGGGUUGUAAAGCUCUUUUAGCAGGGAAGAUAAUGACGGUACCUGCAGAUAAAGCCCCGGCUAACUACGUGCCAGCAGCCGCCGUAACAC